UACAGAGGUCCCGAGCGUUGUUCGGAUUCAUUGGGCGUAAAGGGUGUGUAGGAGGUCUUGUAAGUCGGGCGUGAAAUCUCACCGCUUAACGGUGAAACUGCGUUCGAUACUGCUUGGCUAGAGGAUCGGAGGGGGUAUCGGAAUUCAUGGUGUAGCAGUGAAAUGCGUAGAUAUCAUGAGGAACACCGGUGGCGAAAGCGGAUACCUGGAAGAUUCCUGACUCUGAAACACGAAAGCUAGGGGAGCAAACAGG
rnacentral:rRNA from 1 species